CCUACGGGUGGCUGCAGUGGGGAAUAUUGGACAAUGGGCGAAAGCCUGAUCCAGCCAUGCCACGUGUGUGAAGAAGGCCUUCGGGUUGUAAAGCACUUUCAGUGGGGAAGAAAGCCUUGGGGCUAAUACCCUCGAGGAAGGACAUCACCCACAGAAGAAGCACCGGCUAACUCCGUGCCAGCAGCCGCGGUAAUACGGAGGGUGCGAGCGUUAAUCGGAAUUACUGGGCGUAAAGCGCGCGUAGGCGGUCUGAUAAGCCGGUUGUGAAAGCCCCGGGCUCAACCUGGGAACGGCAUCCGGAACUGUCAGGCUAGAGUGCAGGAGAGGAAGGUAGAAUUCCCGGUGUAGCGGUGAAAUGCGUAGAGAUCGGGAGGAAUACCAGUGGCGAAGGCGGCCUUCUGGACUGACACUGACGCUGAGGUGCGAAAGCGUGGGUAGCAAACAGGAUUAGAUACCCGAGUAGUC
rnacentral:rRNA from 1 species